ensembl:lncRNA
GGAAGUGUAAAGGCGGAGGGUGAACACGACAGAAAGGGUUGAAGAAGGAGAGGGACAAGGAUGCAGGAUCAGAGGAAGCAAAGACACCGAGGGUGAAAGAUGGAGAAGUAGGACAAGUGCGGUCAGACGUCGACAGCAAUGCAGCUAAAAUUCGACCCAGAACGGAAGGAGGAUGGAUGAGAGGCGGGGAUGCCUGUCGCACAUCCCCAGAUGGAAUCUGCUCUGAAUUGGGACACUCAAAGCUGGAUACUGUUCUGCCACCUGCCAUACAAGCAGGAGUUGUGGAUGGACAUCACGCCCCUGACCUCUGAAAACCAGCGAGGGACAGACCACCAUGGAUGGGAUCAAACUCAGUGGCUCUGUGAGUGGACCAGAGACAUGCACAGAAAGGCAAACAGAGGGAGGAAGAGUGAUGUUGAAUGAGGGACAAAGUGUGUUUAUGCUAAUGUGAAGCCUCAAAGAAUUUCCCUUGACAUUUCUAGAAGUUAGGUCAUUUUUUUCUAAAAAAGUGCUUUAUGGAGUAACAGUGUGUAAACAUUUUCUUUUUUAAAGAUUUCCAAACAGUCAAAAUUAGUCAAAAGUAAUUCUUUCAAACACAGAUUUUUGCUGGCUCUUGCAAGGAAAAAUUGUUUCUCCUAUGACUUUUACUGUUUCUGCAUGUUUCCCAGGAUAAAGAGGCGCAAGGAGGUUCUAUAGAUAUUGAACAUUUGGAUAGGUUUAUUCGUUUUUCAGUGCAAAAAUGUCUAAACAGUUUUUUGUGGUCAGUCCACCACUCUACAUUGAGGCUUUUUCUAAAUGUCCAUUGAAAGCCGUUAGAGUGGCAAAAAGUACUAAGAAUGAAGGGUGGGAGUCUGUGUGUGCUUGCAUCACUCCGUUGGUGUGCUCAUAUCUGUUCUUUCCUGUGUUUGACAGAGUUCUUUUGGGUAGACUUGGAGAAGAAAAGGGUUAAAAAAAGUAAGUUAAAGAUUUGAAUCAGGUGUCGAGAAAGGAGAGGUUGAGAACUCACUGAAAAACAAGAUAGACUAACAGUAGGCUAAAGAGAAGAAAGAUGGACCAGACAACUUGAAGUUUUGUGGUCAGAUUGUUCUGUGCUUCCCAGCAAGAUUGGCUUAAAUUGGUCAAAUUUAUAGAUUGACGCUGCAGGAAGCAAUAACUAAGUGAGGAAAAUAUGUAUAGAGAAAGAGAAAGAACGAGAGGGGCACAGAGCGGGAGAGUGAGAGGACGGCAGGGAGAUCAAGAGGGAGGCUGCAUUAAUAUGCUAAUGUCCUGAGUGAAUGCACAACAGGCCCACUGACCAGGCUAAUCACUAGUGGACACACACUAAGGCUAAUCCUCCAUGCAGUGCUCACACACUCUCUCACACACUCACACACGUGCACAUCCAGCAUAUGUUCAAAAAUUUGGACAGCCGCGCCAUUUUUAUUGAUCAGUCACCAGCACAAGUUUCAAAGCAAGACAUUAAGGCAAAAGAUUAAACUCAGAUUUAAUUUUAAAGUGACCAAAUGUAUAGAAUAAUGCAUGAAUAAUCCAAGUUAAAACUAAGACUUAAAGUGUCCAGUUAUGUAUUUAAAUGUUUGUAAAAACUUUGUCAACUGUGUACUCUGAGCACACAGGUAUUGUUGGUGUUGUGGCUCUGCAUAUUUGUGCUAUAGUUUAACAUCAUAAAAACACUUUUUAAAUCAAUGACUCAGAAAGAAAAAAGUUGUGUUGUGUGAAAAAGGGAAGCCAAAAAUAUAUAGCUUGUAAAUUUAGUCUAAUACCUUAAUGUGUGACUCUUUUGUUGCCCUGUGUAUUUAAGCUAUCAGUGCUGUGUUUUAAAAAUGAC